rnacentral:rRNA from 1 species
UGAGUGAUUUACGGAGAAGGAACUCGGCAAAAUGACCCCGUAACUUCGGGAUAAGGGGUGCCGGCAGUAUGUGACCCGUCAAGGGGAGCAGAGACCGGCCGCAGUGAAUCGUCCCAAGCGACUGUUUAGCAAAAACACAGGUGUCUGCAAAGGCGUUUUCCAAGCCGACGUAUAGACACUGACGCCUGCCCGGUGCCGGAAGGUUAAGGUAAGUGGUCAGCCGCAAGGCGAAGCUACGAACCGAAGCCCCGGUAAACGGCGGCCGUAACAAUAACGGUCCUAAGGUAGCGAAAUUCCUUGUCGGGUAAGUUCCGACCUGCAUGAAUGGCGUAACGACUUGGGAGCUGUCUCCUCCGUAAGCUCGGCGAAAUAGCAGCAUCGGUGAGGAUUCCGAUUACCCGCGACAGGACAAAAAGACCCCAUGCACCUUUACUACAACCUGUCAUUGAUCGUCGAUAUACACUGCGUAGCAUAGGUGGGAGCCGUUGAGUCCCGGUUUUCGGAUCGGGUGGAGGCAACAGUGAAAUACCACCCUUUGUUUAUUAACGAUCUCACUCGGCCGGCAACACCAGCGAGGACCGUGGCUGGUGGGUAGUUUGACUGGGGCGGUCGCCUCCCAAAAAGUACCGGAGGCGCGCGAUGGUGGGCUCAGUGCGGUCGGUAAUCGCACGUUGAGUGUAUACGCAAAAGCCCGCCUGACUGCGAGCGCGACGGCGCGAGCAGGGACGAAAGUCGGCGUAAGUGAUCCGGUGAUCCCGUAUGGAUGGGUCAUCGCUCAUCGGAUAAAAGGUACGCUGGGGAUAACAGGCUUAUCGCGCCCGAGAGUUCACAUCGACGGCGCGGUUUGGCACCUCGAUGUCGGCUUGUCACAUCCUGGGGCUGGAGAAGGUCCCAAGGGUCCGGCUGUUCGCCGGUUAAAGUGGCACAUGAGCUGGGUUCAGAACGUCGUGAGACAGUUCGGUCUGUAUCCGUCGUGGGCGUGGGAACGUUGAGGGAUCAGGACUCUAGUACGAGAGGACCGAGUCGUAGUGACCUCCCGUGUACGGGCUGUUCCGCCAGGGGCAGCGCCCGGUAGCGAUGUCACGCAGGGAUAACCGCUGAAAGCAUCUAAGUGGGAAACCCGUCCCAAGAUGAACGUUCCUGGAGCUUAAGCUCCCUUAAGGGCCCUGGGAGACCACCAGGUUGAUAGGCCGCAGGUGUACGGCGCGCGAGCGCUUCAGCCGAGCGGUACUAAUCGCCCGUGAAGUUUGAUCUC